rnacentral:tRNA from 1 species
GGCCCUAUCGUCUAACAGUUAGGACAGUGCCCUUUCAAGGCGCAAAUUCGGGUGCGAUUCCCGAUAGGGUCA